GACCUCAAAUCAGGUAGGACUACCCGCUGAACUUAAGCAUAUCAAUAAGCGGAGGAAAAGAAACUAACAAGGAUUCCCCUAGUAACUGCGAGUGAAGAGGGAAAAGCUCAAAUUUAAAAUCUGUCAGUCUUUGGCUGACCGAGUUGUAAAUUAGAGAAGUGCUAUCUGCGCUGGCCUGUGCAAAAGUCUCUUGGAAAAGAGCAUCAUAGAGGGUGACAAUCCCGUCUUUGGUACAGAGCUCCAGGGCUUCAUGAUGUGCUCUCAAUGAGUCGAGUUGUUUGGGAAUGCAGCUCUAAUGGGUGGUAAAUUCCAUCUAAAGCUAAAUAUUGGCGAGAAACCGAUAGCGCACAAGUACCGUGAGGGAAAGAUGAAAAGAACUUUGAAAAGAGAGUUAAACAGUACGUGAAAUUGUUGAAAGGGAAACGCUUGAAGUCAG
rnacentral:rRNA from 1 species